AAACCGAAGCAGUUGCGGUCUAGUGCUGUAUGGAAGACUAGUGAUUUUGUUGUUCUAAUAUACUAUGACAACAAGUCACAGCCGGCCUCACAGCAUGGACUCCUGUCGAC
rnacentral:pre_miRNA from 1 species